GGCCUUUUACGUUCCGGGAAACGCUAAGAUCAGGUUUGAGCGAUCAGGUUUGAGCGUAGGGUUGUAUUUUCUGUGCCAUAAUUAUUAGGUGGAAACCGACUGACUUAACUAAAAUGCAGGUGAUUCAAGACUCUUGUUGCAGUGGGCGGUGGGGAACCCAAGCCAGAGUGGACGUAGAUGUUCGUUAGGUCACGGGUCGGCCACGUGCGGUCCGGAGUCCCGGCCUAUGCGGGCCGUGGGCCUUUAAGGAAGGGUUCAGUGCACCUGAUGUUCAUGUGAAGAAGCUCAUGUUUUCUGCUAAGUGUCGUGUGGCCAUUUUGGGGGUACCCUGUCAAAAUUAGUGCCACAGCACCUAAGAACCGUCGCGUUUUGAUCCAGAUGGAAGCUGAGCUUAACUGUGCAGAUGGGAGAUGGAAACAUAAGGUAUCAAGAAAACCAACGUGAUAAGUGUCAGCGUUCUGCAGUGGGUCGUCAAACGUAAAUCUUAGGGCACUAGUUUGACUAUAGGCCUUUCUUUUUUUAGUUACUAUCUUAAGAUGGCAUUAGUACAAUUAAAUAAAAUGCUUUACUUUUUUAGAUA